rnacentral:rRNA from 1 species
AGCAGCCGCGGUAAUUCCAGCUCCAAUAGCGUAUAUUAAAGUUGUUGCAGUUAAAAAGCUCGUAGUUGAAUUUCGGGGUCAAUACGUCGGUCGUGCCUCGGUACGCACUAACGUUAUUGAUCCCUCCCUUCUGACGAACCGUGAUGUCAUUAAUUUGGUGUUGCGGGGAAUCAGGACUGUUACCUUGAAAAAAUUAGAGUGUUUAAAGCAGGCAAUCGCUCGAAUACAUUAGCAUGGAAUAAUGAAAUAGGACGUUCGAACCUAUUUUGUUGGUUUCUAGGAUCGACGUAAUGAUUAAUAGGGAUAGUUGGGGGCAUUAGUAUUUAAUUGUCAGAGGUGAAAUUCUUGGAUUUAUUGAAGACUAACUACUGCGAAAGCAUUUGCCAAGGAUGUUUUCAUUAAUCAAGAACGAAAGUUAGGGGAUCGAAGACGAUCAGAUACCGUCGUAGUCUUAACCAUAAACUAUGCCGACUAGGGAUCGGAUGAUGUUAAUUUUUUAAUGUACUCAUUCGGCGCCUUA